CAGAUCCUGGAGGUAACUACAGAGCUAAGAUGUUGCUGUCCUCCCAAAUGCCCCUCUAGUCUACCAGGAGCACCGUUGUCCAGGGCAUUGUUCCACAGCGCUGCAGCUCUCGUGCUUAAAACCUUUCUGUGCUUGCCAUCUUGCUCAGGACCAGGUCCAGGUUUAAGGUCCUUUAUUUUGUGGUCUGUCCAGCACCAUCUAUUGCUAUUUUUACAUGUGCUAUCUCAGGCUUCUAAACCAUUUGCAGUUCCCCACCUGAUGCCUCUAGAUGUGAGCAUGCUAUCCUCACUGGUACACUGCUCCCUGUAUUUUGUCUGGCUUUCCUUUUCCCUCUAGGUUUAAGCUUGGGUAUCACUGAAGUUAGGGGUCCUCCCAGAGUACUUCAUGCUUAUCUGGUCAUAUCACAUUAAUAAGUUUGUCUCCUUUAAAACCUGAGCAACCAGAGUUGGGUACUGGGUCUUUGUUGUUGCAGCCCCAUAAUCCAGCAUAGGGCCUGACACUCAGGCUCUUAAGUGGUUGUUGAAUGGUUAAAAUGUGGAUCUCUAAUAGGAUAUCUUGACAAAAUCACUGCCAUGGUGUGGGGACAGUGGGGACAUAGCUGAGAAUUGUAUAGAUUGUUCCAAAGGUUGGUGGGUGGGCUGACUAGCUUUAUUAAAAAAGGUCUACAAAUUUCUGUAUUAAUGAUUCCCCUCAUGUGAUCCUAAAAUACAUAAGAGCCCACAAAAAUUAUAAUGGGAAUUAUUUUAUGUAUUUAAAAAAAUCACAGUGGAAAUGUCACAUUUACCUAAAAUAAAGCCACACAGACUGAUAAUAAGGGAUAAAGUUGUUUGCUUUUGGCUGAGUCAAAGUACCAGGUUUCAACAUGCUAAUACGUAGCUCAGAUUGGCAGAUAACACAAAAGGAUUUCUAAGAUCAAUAGACCAGAUAAUCUCAUCAUUCCUGAUUGAUAAAAAAUAUACUGUACUGAGAAGGUAUCCAUGAAGUUUUGUGUAAAGAUUGGGAAUCUUUGGCCUAGAUCAUUCUUAGGAUUACUACCACCUUUGUAAUCAUCUGAAUCAGCCUAUCUCUGAGACCAGGGACCUGAAACAAGGAGGACCUUAGGAAGUCCUUCUGGCAGGAUUGAACCGACUCAAGAGUUUUUGAUAAUUUGCAUAUGAGCAAAGGUAAGCUUCUUAAGAUGCUGUGUGGUAGGAAAGGUGAUACCUAAGGGAAACUAAGCACAGUUGGGUCCACCGAAAGGGCCAAACUGUUACUUUAGGAAAAAGGGCCAGUUUUAUUGCUUCUGUUGGAGUUUUCAAGUCAAAUAGUUUAAUGCUGUAUACAUUUGGGGGAGGGGGUAGUAAUUUUUCUUUUUGUUAAAGUAAAAUUGUUUUUGAAAAUGUCUGGUUAAUCAUACUAAAAUAAAAAGACAGGACGCAAAUAUCUGAGUGCCUACCAAAUAGAGGAAUGACUGGGUACUUUUACAUGUAAGGAGCUGUCUCAUAACAAGAGGGGAAAAUUUUGUCUAAACUUGGAUCAAUACUUUCAAGAGGAAUGAGGAUGUCUUGGCAUACUUCAUUCAGGAAGCAGAGAGAAACAAAACCAAGGGAAGGUUGAAGAAUAUAGGACAGUCAUAUAGUUGCUCUUGUUAUCUCUUGUAUUGUUGUUUUUAUAAGGGAGGCCUUUCCUAACUGUAGGCUGACUCCUACAAAUCUGCAGCAUUAUGGACAUAUCCCUGUUUCCUUCACUUGGCACCACAAUUAAACCUGUGUCUGAUUAACGAACGUUAAGUGUGUGCCAUAAGUGGUAAAUAAGACAACUGGGCUUCUUUUUUUUUUCCUAAGGUAAAUCCAGUCCAUUUCUUGUUUAUAUAACUGUAUUUUGACACAAAAUAAGAAAGAGACAAUGACUGCUUGGCAACACUUAGUAAUUUCUCUUUUCCCCAUUUGAAUGUGUUCACAUACUUUCUAACCCUCUAUCUACCAAAUCUAGACAACCUACUAUUUAGAAAACCAAAACCUAUGAUCUUGUGACCAAAGCCUUACUUGGUUAAUUGUUUUUUCUUUUGACUCAGAGAAAGCUAACGACUAGACUGAAGGUAAGUUAGUGACUCACUCUUUAGUCAACUGGCCCUACUGCAGUUGCCAGUAAUGCCCAUGUGAGUGAAAAAAUAUUGGUUUGCAAAGUCAUUUAAGAUUUCAUGGUAUAAUGACACUGAAUCACUGUAAG
ensembl:lncRNA